rnacentral:rRNA from 1 species
GAUGAACGCUGGCGGCGUGCCUAAUACAUGCAAGUCGAGCGAACAGACGAGGAGCUUGCUCCUCUGACGUUAGCGGCGGACGGGUGAGUAACACGGGGAUAACCUACCUAUAAGACUGGGAUAACUUCGGGAAACCGGAGCUAAUACCGGAUAACAUGUUGAACCGCAUGGUUCAACAGUGAAAGACGGUUUUGCUGUCACUUAUAGAUGGAUCCGCGCCGCAUUAGCUAGUUGGUAAGGUAACGGCUUACCAAGGCAACGAUGCGUAGCCGACCUGAGAGGGUGAUCGGCCACACUGGAACUGAGACACGGUCCAGACUCCUACGGGAGGCAGCAGUAGGGAAUCUUCCGCAAUGGGCGAAAGCCUGACGGAGCAACGCCGCGUGAGUGAAGAAGGUCUUCGGAUCGUAAAACUCUGUUAUUAGGGAAGAACAAAUGUGUAAGUAACUAUGCACGUCUUGACGGUACCUAAUCAGAAAGCCACGGCUAACUACGUG